rnacentral:lncRNA from 1 species
CCCCUCUAAUUAAGGUGACCAUUCUGAUACCUGAAUAUUAUAUUCCCCCAAAAGUAAGGCUUUUAGCAAAAUAAAUCCUUGCCCUGUCACUUAUUCAGAUCUACCCACAAUCAAUGCUAGGAGCUUGAAAGGUAGAAUAUUGAUAUGGUUCUUAAAUGUUGCUAUGGUUCUUACUAAGUUCACCACUGUUGUGGGAUAAUUCGUUAAAGGGGA